AGCGAACGCUGGCGGCAGGCCUAACACAUGCAAGUCGAACGAACUCUUCGGAGUUAGUGGCGGACGGGUGAGUAACACGUGGGAACGUGCCUUUAGGUUCGGAAUAACUCAGGGAAACUUGUGCUAAUACCGAAUGUGCCCUUCGGGGGAAAGAUUUAUCGCCUUUAGAGCGGCCCGCGUCUGAUUAGCUAGUUGGUGAGGUAAAGGCUCACCAAGGCGACGAUCAGUAGCUGGUCUGAGAGGAUGAUCAGCCACAUUGGGACUGAGACACGGCCCAAACUCCUACGGGAAGCAGCAGUGGGGAAUCUUGCGCAAUGGGCGAAAGCCUGACGCAGCCAUGCCGCGUGAAUGAUGAAGGUCUUAGGAUUGUAAAAUUCUUUCACCGGGGACGGUAAUGACGGUACCCGGAGAAGAAGCCCCGGCUAACUUCGUG
rnacentral:rRNA from 1 species